AUGACCACGUUGACGGGGGGCGUCGCGCCGGCGCCGUCCCGUGCCGCCGCCGCACCCUCGAAGCUCCCCAAUGCGGCGCGGCCGAAGAAGGGCAAGACAUCCGCGAAGAAGAACAAGGCGGCGGACGGCUCCGGCAGCUCGAAGGCGAGGGGAAAGAAGCUUGCAGGGCGUUUGACGGGCGCGGCGGCUAUAGCUCCGGCGAGCUCACUCGUUGAGCCGGCCACCGACGCGCACCAUGUGUUUGACGAAAUGCCCCCAAGUCUCAAUGAUGAUGCAUACAUGUCAACUAUGGGUGUUGGGUCCAAAAAUUCGCAUCGGUCUCAAACCAAUGACAUCCAUUUCGAAGACCGUGAGUUUGAGGUGGACGAGGAGGGUGAGGGCAUUGUCGACGCGUCGAAAGGAAGAGCGGGCAAUUACACCACCAACGAUGACAAGUUACUAUGCAAUACUUGGUUGCAAGUGUCGAGGGAUCCAUCCGUUGGAGGUGAUCAAAGUAGAGAUGCUAAUUGGGGGCGAAUGAAAGAACACUUUGAUGCUAACAACGUGAGUGGAAUUGACCGCUCCGAGAGAUCACUUCGGUCCCGAUGGUCAACAAUCAACUCGGAUUGUCAAAAGUGGGCGGCCGCACAAAAGGCAGUUGACAAGAUUAACCCAAGUGGAACAAAUGAGGAUGAUAGAGAUGAUGAGAAAUGGAAGAAGCGUGAUGGUUUGGAUGAUUUGCAUUUGAGCAACAAACGCAAGCAAACAAUUGAGUUGAAUGAUGAUGAGGAGGAGGAAGAGGAUGAUGCAUCAAGUGAUGACGGCAAGAGAAGCCCCACACCCAACUCGGUUUCAUACUCAAAGCCAAAACGACCGGAUGGGUGCAAGAAAGACAAAACCGAAAAGAAGAAGAGGAAAGGAGAUGAUGAGCUAAAAAAUGCUAUGGAAGCUAUUGUGAAGGCAAGAAAAGAAGCCAACGAGGUGAGGAAAAUGGCAAGGAACCAAGAUGGUGCGGCCGAGGAGAGAAGGGUGGCCGCCGAGGAGAGGAAAGUGGCAUUGGAGCAGAGGAAGGUGGGCAUGGAGGAACGAGCUAAGUUGUUGGAAUGGGAGAAGCACUUGUUCUUCUUGGACACAUCUUUGUUCAAUGAUGCGUAA
rnacentral:rRNA from 1 species